UACGAAGGGGGCUAGCGUUGUUCGGAAUUACUGGGCGUAAAGCGCGUGUAGGCUGCUUCGCAAGUCGGAUGUGAAAGCCCUGGGCUCAACCCAGGAAGUGCAUUCGAAACUGCAGAGCUGGAGUCCUGGAGAGGAAGGCGGAAUUCUCGGUGUAGAGGUGAAAUGCGCAGAUAUCAGGAGGAACACCAACGGCGAAGGCAGCUCUCUGGGACGUUACUGACGCUGAGACGCGAAAGCGUGGGGAGCAAACAGG
rnacentral:rRNA from 1 species